rnacentral:rRNA from 1 species
UGGGGAAUUUUGGACAAUGGGCGAAAGCCUGAUCCAGCAAUGCCGCGUGUGUGAAGAAGGCCUUCGGGUUGUAAAGCACUUUUGUCCGGAAAGAAAUCCUUGGCUCUAAUACAGUCGGGGGAUGACGGUACCGGAAGAAUAAGCACCGGCUAACUACGUGCCAGCAGCCGCGGUAAUACGUAGGGUGCAAGCGUUAAUCGGAAUUACUGGGCGUAAAGCGUGCGCAGGCGGUUUGCUAAGACCGAUGUGAAAUCCCCGGGCUCAACCUGGGAACUGCAUUGGUGACUGGCAGGCUAGAGUAUGGCAGAGGGGGGUAGAAUUCCACGUGUAGCAGUGAAAUGCGUAGAGAUGUGGAGGAAUACCGAUGGCGAAGGCAGCCCCCUGGGCCAAUACUGACGCUCAUGCACGAAAGCGUGGGGAGCAAACAGGAUUAGAUACCCUGGUAGUCCACGCCCUAAACGAUGUCAACUAGUUGUUGGGGAUUCAUUUCCUUAGUAACGUAGCUAACGCGUGAAGUUGACCGCCUGGGGGAGUACGGUCGC